CUAAAGAAGAAGAGGCUUUUCUCUUAGACUUCUUCGGCGAAUCUGGCAAUUAUUGCAACGAUAGGAAUACUUUGGGUGCCGGCAUAGAGGUGACGUGCAAUUGUACCUAUAAGAAUAACACCCUUUGCCACGUCACGGAGUUGUAGGUUACUCUUUCAAAGCUUCUAUAUAGAGUAUUACAUAGCACUUGGUGUUUAUUAGAUUAUACUCAUUUUUAAAAUAUAUAUUAUAUGUGUAUUAAAUAAUUUAUAAUUAUUUUAUAUACAUAAAUAUUAAUUUAAUUAAUUUUA
rnacentral:misc_RNA from 1 species